UACGUAGGGUGCAAGCGUUGUCCGGAAUUAUUGGGCGUAAAGAGCUCGUAGGCGGUCUGUUGCGUCGGCUGUGAAAACCCGAGGCUCAACCUCGGGCCUGCAGCCGAUACGGGCAGACUAGAGUUCGGCAGGGGAGACUGGAAUUCCUGGUGUAGCGGUGAAAUGCGCAGAUAUCAGGAGGGAACACCGGUGGCGAAGGCGGGUCUCUGGGCCGAUACUG
rnacentral:rRNA from 1 species